CAAAGACAAAACUAAAAUAAAGCUGAUUACUGUGCGACGCUGUCAAGAAAGCGAUCCACAAAGGAUUAGUAGAUUUAAUCUCGCGCCGCUUCACCCCAUUUACUGUUCAUAUUCUCGCAUGUUAUUAAUUGCAGUUCCGAUUAUAUAUUAGUUGGUUUGAAAUUCUAGAAAAUAUAGUCUUGUAUGAGACACAUUGUCGCAUUACGGUCUCAUGAUGGUGAACAUUUGUGUCAAGUUAUUUCAAAAUCCCUUAAUGCAUAAAGACGUAAUGGCACUGAUACGAAACACAGACCAUGUUUCACCUUUAAGUGUAACUUUAAAAAGAAAAAGGAAAGUAAUAAGAUGGACAUUAACUACAUAUGGCCGAUGUUUGUAUGAAAACUUUGAGAAAGGUAGGUGCAAUAGCAUUGAAGAAAUUGCACGACUAAAUAUAUGAGGACACAUAUACAAACAGAUCGAACAGACAGACCGCAUGGUGACUGCUUUAUACCACCCUCCUUCAAACAUUGUUUGCGGGUUCUAAAUAUGAAGAAAUACUACAGGAGCAUAGGAAACGCCGAUGUUUUUUAAAGAAGUCACUCACAAACAGGCAUACAGUCUUUAUAUCAAACUCACAAGCACUUGUACAGAAAUUAAGCAAGCAUGCAUACAGUCGGGAAUAGCAUUGAAUUUUCUUUCCUUUACGGUUAUAAACAAAUUCGAGUAUUUAUCAAUGGUUUUAUUUCAUUUUACUAAACUAGUUUUGUUUCUUUAUCCAUGAAACAGUGGAAUUUACAUAUAGGUCAUUCUUCAAGCAAGAAAAUAAGUACUUUUGACGCUGACAAUGUAUAAUUUCUCGACAAAAUCAGUGAUCAAUCGAGUUUUUUGCUAUAAUUCUACCUGUCAUCAGACUAGCACAUUAUAUACAGAAACAAGUCAUGUUCAGGUUCUAAUAAAAUGUAAAUAUAUAUACCUUUAAAGCAAAUCAGUCACUUUAAAAUGCUGUUUUUCAACGUUUAGAUGUCAGUUUAUUGUUUUGAUCACUCGCAAGAGGAAGAGGGGAAAUACAGUCGUUUAUAGGGUGUGAUAUUUGGACGGGGCGAAAGGAUCUCCUGUGUAUUUACCUGUUUAUUACAUGUGUACCUAUACUAUAGCGAGAAUAGCCAAGUGUGCCAUUUAUGGGCACUAGCAACCACUGACAUAAUAAUUUUCAGCUUUUUCAGUUGUAAUUCUAUUUCUGUGUUGAAUUCAGUUUUGUACUCGACACUGUUUUACCUCUUUAUGUCACACCAGUGUUUUGCGUGAUUCAUUAGUUUUAAGAAGUCAUGCAACGAAAGGGUAAGUGGGAUUAUUUCUUUAUUUCGCAAUUAAAUUGAUCUUGUAAUAAUGAUACAGCUCUACAAAUCUCGCAUGCUUGUUAGUGAGUUUUGAAUUAGAUCUAGAUGCAUAUCAGGCGGAAUUUUCGCAGUGAGUUUGAUUAGAAAAUUUGAAAAUGGGAAAAAGUCAUAAAAGCUGUAAAAAUAAAAAUAAAGUAGUUUGUUUAACAUCAUGUAAGACCAUAUUUAUCUUAUCUUACGUUGUCAUUUUACACAAUUGCUACAAAUAUUGAGUCUACCUGAAUUCUUAAUUGAAAUCGUCCUGAAAGAUUUUCGAGUACGCUACCCAUCAAUAUUCUAGUUGAGAGAAUAUAAAUUGAAGUAAGUAAGAAGAAAAUAGUGAGGGUUGUAAACGUCAACUGAGUCUCAUGAAACACAGUCACAGGGUGACCCUUUUUGAAAGUAGCAACUCACAUGUAAUAAUCAACAUUACCAAUAAACACACUUUGCAUUUUAAACAGUGGGCGAGAUUGAGAAAUCGCUUCCGCCAAAGAUUCUAUCCCAGAAAGGGUGCAGAACUUGACCCAGAAACCUUGUUAAAUGAAACAGGGACUCGUGAAAUGGUCGUCAGGAAAGCUCCUUACAAGUCCAACAAAGUAGUACCUCAAAAUCUGGCAUCUACGGCCGUCGUGAAAGACGAUCCAGUAGUUGCUGAAAGUGCACUACCAGCAGAAACUACGGAUGAAGGUUUUGAAACACUUGUUGGAGAAUACGUGUCUUGCAUUAUACGCAAGACUGCUGACUCACUGAGAAAGGCAUCACCAAAGAACACAAAAGCCAUCAGGGAGAAAUCAGCAGACGACGGCGUGUCUUUGUCGUCAAGUAUCAUAAGCUAAAUUGCUGACAUAGCUGUAACUGACAGUUUGUCAAAUGUAGUGUCAGAAGCCGACGUCAACCAUUCUGCCAUUCGUAACGCUACACCUAAAACUAUCAAAUAAUUUAUGGAGGCCUUCGGCAUUGUUGGAGAUACCGUUACAGAUAACGUUACAGAUGAUGGUCUACCAACAGUUAGUUUCUAAGAGGCCAAGACGGAACUACAAGCCAAUUAUUAUAUUUUAAUUAUAUUAUAUUGUUAAUUGACUGCAUACUAAACACUGAAUCGCAUUUUUUUUAAAUAUUUAUAUUAUAUUGUUAAUUGACUGCAUACUAAACACUAAAUCGCGUUUAAAAAAAAAUAUUUUGAAGUUCUGAAUUAUAUUUUUUACAAUAAAAUUCAUAGAC